AAAUAUGGAUGAAAUUAGAAAGUGAUUUUCAACAAUUUUGAGAAGAAAAAUUUUGUGGAUUAUAAAAUUAUGGCUUAUUUAGAAAAAAAAAUCAGAUUCUAAAUACUUUGAAAGCCAGCAGGAGUUGAUUCUGAGUUUAGUCAUGGAUGGACACCCAGUCAAGGGUUCUCAGAUGCAGUAGAAGAAGAGACACAUACAAGCAUUCCCCUGCUACAGGGGCUGGAGGACAAAUGUGGGAAAUGGUGUAGCAAAGACCACAUGAGCUUGAUGAGUGUGUGUUGAAAUGAGUAAGAACAUAACAAGUUGAGCAGUGAUAAGAAAAAGAGGAUGGGGUUUGGGUGGUGGGGUCAGUGCACUGGAGGAUCCUGAAUGGUUGGGUCUGGGAAAGGAGAGUGAGCUUGAUAAAUGAGAAGGAAGGCCGUGCCCUGACAGGUAGGGCUUGUGCUCUUUAACAGCAGAGGCACUAUCGCAGUUCAGCUUAGAGGUUGUGUUGGUGUGUUCAAAGACAUUGUGCUCAGCCAAAGGGAAAGAAAGGGAAAAGUGUUGCGUUUUUUCAGUUGGAUAAAUUUAUCCAGUUGGAUGAAUUUAUCAUCUAAGGAAGACCAUGUAAAUCUUUGUUUAGGUCAUUUUUUAAAUGAUGAAUUGCCCUUUAAUCAACAGGGUUAUGAUAAAAACCCAAUAUUUGAAAAUUUGUAAUCAUAUUUAGUAAAUUAUUGGUGCUUUUUUUUGUUUUGCUUUGUGUUUCUUUGUUUUGUUUCUUUGUUUUUCAUUGGGAUAAAUCUCAGGGAAAUCAUGUCAUGGAGCUACAUUCCCAGCACUCUAUUUCUUAUUUUUCAUAUUUUGAGAGCAGGGAUUGAGCACAGGGAUGCUUAACCCCUGAGUCCCAUCCCCAUCCCCAGCCUAUUUUGUGGUUUGUUUGUUUGUUUGCUUGCUUUUUGUAUUUUGAGACAGAAUCUCACUUAGUAGUUUAGAGCCUGGCUGUUUCUGAGGAUGGCAUUGAACUUUGGUCUUCCUGCCUCAGCCUCCUGGGUGGCUGGUCUUUCAGGUGUGCAUCAUGCUCCUGGAUUUUUCUCUUUUUUCAGUGGAGGCACAAUAACAUGAGUGAAUUUUAGUCUUCAUAAUAAAAAAUUGUAAUUCCUCCACAAAAUUUAUGAUAUGUUGAUGGAUAGUAGUAAAAGUCAUAAUUACUCCACAAAAUUUAUGUUAUGAUGAUGGAUACACUACAAUUUUAAAUAUCUGUCUCAUAUGUAUGUAUCUAUAAUUAAAAACUGAUAUCACAACUGAUGAUGGAUGGAUAUUGAACAGGAUUUCAAAAGUUUCAACCAGCACAUUAGCAAAUGACCAGACUAAUCAAAUAGAUUUCAUCCUGAUCCCAGUCAUCAUCUAUGAGCAUCAUUUCUGAACAUCCUUAAUAUUAAUUAAUGUGACCAUCCCUGACACUCCCACUAGGACCCCAGUACUUAAGCUGAUUUGGAUAAAUGCAACUAUAAGGGCUGGAUUGGCAGGAUGAUGCCAUUGAUUCCUCAAAAUGGAAAUCCACUUGAGUUGAUUCAUGCUUUCAUAAUAGAGAUCCUGACUUGAUUGCUCCUAAAUCCAGGAACGAUAGAUCUACCUCAUGGGUGAGGGAGGGUUGGCAGGGAGUGAGACUCCAAGGGGACACAAUUUAACUUAGAGAACCACUGCUAACAAAUAGAGCAAAAUCAGUGAAAUCUGAGAAAUUCCACAAUGUUUCCCUAGAGGUGGAAACCAAAGUCUGCAUGUUGGUUAAAAAAGUGAUAUUUCUUCAAAAUCUAAGAGCAUUUUAUAACUCUGGACCCUUUAUUGGGCAAUUCACAUGUGAAAAUCAAGGUUUUCCAUUUAUAUGUAAAUGCAUAUAUGGAGGUUUAAUUUCUUCAUUUUUGUUAGCGAUCAUGUUCACAUUCUUUUGAAUUUUGGUUUUGGAAUAUGAACCGAGUACUGCACCCAUAACAUUUGGGCAAUCUGAAUUUUCCUUGUGUUAGCACUGCAUUUUAGACAAAAGAAUGUCUAGGAUUUCAUGAGAGAGGAGUCAGGAUGUCUUCUAAAUAUGUUGAAUAUCAUGAUUUUUCUUCUUUAUCCACAGUAUUUUCUGAAAAUUGUUUGGACUGUGUGUGAGUGAAGAGGAAGAUUGCAGAAAGCAAAACCAUGACUAUGAAUCCAUUAGUGGUUGAGCAGUGAAUGGCUUUUCUAUUGAAAUUUUCCCCCUAUUGACAGAGAUGCCAAGUCUUCAGUGCAAGCAGGAGUUAGUCCUGUACCCCACAACUCUGCAGUUGUCACCAUGGGUCAGGAACUCAUCAGCAGGCAACUGAUGUCCUUCCUGUUAGGACACCACUAUACCAUGGUACCAUUCCUGGCUGUGUACUUCCAGAAGGAAUGGGACAUAUUGAAUCUCACAUUUUGCCUAUGACUCCAUUUGAAAUAAUUACUGAUUAAUGAUGUUACUUAUUGCAAUGAUGUUUGGAUUUUGGUGAAUUCAGGUGAGGGAAAUGAGUGAGGAGUAGAACCUCACAGCCAAACAUGGAGGCAGAUAUUCUAGCACAUGAAUUCUGUUGACACAGUGCCACAGGCAUUCAAGUAAUACUGAGAAAAAAAUAAAAGACCUAGGCUAGAGAAGGCAUGAGAAAUAAUGGGUUUUUUUGCAAUUUUAAACUUAGAGUUUUAUGGAAUAAAUUUCAACUUUUGAUAACCCCCCUAAAAAAACCCUAAAUUAAUCAUGAUCAUUUUUAUUUAAAAUUUUGUUACAACUUACUAAUAAAAUAUUCCUUCAUAUUUUCUACUGGAAGUUGUUUACGCCAACUUAUAUUAACCUAAUUGAUGUUUGUCAUUAAAAUAUACUAUUAAUUCAUAUAGUAGACAGAGCAAAUUUUUUGAAGAACUGGAUACAUGAAAACUAAUAAAGGAACAGAGAAAUGAGAUCAAGAUAUCAGAGAGACAUUGAAAAGUAGUGUUUGGAGCUCAAGAGAGAAUUGAGGAUGAGAGUUGUAGUAUAGGGAUGGUUGCUGGGACUCUGCCUCAGAGUACGUCUCAGAGACUGUGCCUUGUGCUGCUCAAAUGUCUGUCCUUAACCUUAUUCUGACCUCCUUGGUCACAUUGUGAGAAGAGUGACUCUUCCUACUGACACCAAGUUAUAUGCAAUUUGUUCAGUUCUCAAAAAUUCUGGAGAUUGGUUCAAGAAUGUCUGCAUUAUUCUGCUUAUAGGGUUAUAGUUUAAACAUGUUUUGAAGAUAUAAAGAAAUUCAUUGGCCUUUUAAACACUCACAUUACUAAAUAUUUUACUGAUGAGGGAUAUAAGAUACCUCUUUGAGAAAAUGACUAUUUUAUACAUAGUCAAUUUUCAAGAUGACAAAUUAAUGUUAAGGUUGGCCUGGUGAUAAUUCUGGAAAGUUACUUAAAUAAGUGGGGAUUUAAAUUUUAGUUGAAAAUGUUCAAGUGAAAAUUUUAUAAUAGCAUGAUUGAAAGUUAUUCUUACCAGUCCUUAAAAUGUUUUUCAUGUUUCAUGACCCUCUAUCAUUCCAUAUUCCUUUACUAUAAAUUCUAUGAAUUCAAUCAAUGCAUGUACAUUCUGGUUUUCUGAAAGUAAGCAGGUUGGGAGCUGAAAAUGAAUAGGCUGGAGCCUUUAACAGUUUGAUCUCCCUGCAAACCUAGUUUCCCCUAUGCCUCAUGCUGUCCUCUCAACCCUUCUUUUGUGAAAUUGAUCUCCUUGCUCUUUCUAAUCUAGCUUGUCAAUUCCAUUCUAGGAAUUGAUGUCCAUUGAAGAUGUAAGCAUAAGUUUCACCCAAGAAGUGUGGGCCAUGCUGGACCCAUCUCAGAAAAUGCUACACCGGUCAGUGAUGCUGGAAAUCAUUAAUCAUCUAGUAUCAGUUGGGUAUCUGCUCUGCAAAUCAGAUGUGACUUUGUAUCUGGAGGAAGGAAAAAUCCUGUGGAUGGGAGAAGGGACAGGAUUUCUCCCAAGCCAGAGUCCAGGGACGGAAAAUGAAUAUCAAGAACACUAAUUAUAAAUCUCAUGUUAAAGAGGAUUCCUUGGAAUGGAGAAAAGCAAGGAACCCCUGGGACAACAAACACUGUGCAUGAUCCCUUGCUAACAAUUUGUAUCUUGGUGAAAACAAGAAAAAUGAUCGUGUCUCAUGUGAAGGGCAAGAAUGUUUGAAAGGACAUAGGAAUUGUUUAUGACCUAGAAAAUGCAACAAGAACGACCCUGGAGAGAUACAAUAUGAAUGUCGUCUAUGCAGCAAAUCCUUUAAUCAAACUUCUGAUCUAAGCAGACUCAAUGAAACUAGAACAGGGGAAAAGAAGCAUGAAUGUGGUUUUUCUGAGAAAGUCUUCAAUUACUGCUCUCAGCUUAGACAACAUGAGAGAACCCAAACCGGUGAGAAACAAAAUGAAUGCCACAUGUGUGGGAAAGCCUUCAGGAAGACUUACAACCUUAAAAUGCAUAAGAAAGUCCAUGCUGGAGAGAAACCAUACAGAUGCCAUCCAUGUGGGAAAGCUUUUUGUAAAUUAUACAGCCUUCAAAUGCAUGAUAAAAUCCACACAGGAGAGAAACCAUACAAAUGCCAUGUGGGUGGGAAAGCCUUCAGCAAAUCAGUUCACCUUAGUCAUCAUCAGACAAUCCACACAGGAGAAAAACCAUACCAGUGUCAAUUAUGUGAGAAAUCCUUUGGUCAAACAUGCUACCUUAAACUUCAUCAGAGAACAAACACUGGAGAGAAACCCUAUCAAUGCCACCUGUGUGGGAAAUCCUUCAGUCAAUCUGGUUACCUUAAACCACAUCAGAGAAUCCACACUGGUGAGAAACCAUAUGAAUGCCAUGUAUGUGGGAAAGCCUUCAGUCUAUCAUCUAGCCUUAGACACCAUGAGAAAACACAUAUUGGAGACAAACAAUACAAAUGUCACCUAUGUGGAAAGGCUUUCAAUACAUGCUCUGGCCUGAGACAACAUGAGAAAACACAUACUGGAGAGAAACCAUACAAAUGCCCUGUGCGUGGGAAAGCCUUCAGUCAAUCAUCUGGCCUCAGAGUUCAUGAGAGAACACACACCAGAGAAAAAUAACAUGCAUGCCACUGUGUGGCAUACUCCUUGGCCAUAACCCUAGUAUUGAAAAAUGAAACAUGACUUGCCUUGGAGAAUAGCCACUGGAAUGUCACCUGUGUGGAAAGGCCUCUCUUUAAGACUCUAACCUUAGAAAACAUGAGCCAUCUCAAUGAAGAGAAACCUCAUGAGUGACAUCUAUGUGGGAAAGGCUUCAGUCAAUCUUACUACCUUAGACUGCAUGAGAAAAUCAAUCAUAGGAAUGUCAGCUGUUUGAGAUGUAUGUCCUGCCAAUGUUCUGCAUGUAGGAACCCAUGCUGGAGACAAACUUCAGUUCUUGUAGCAUAUAUUCUAACCUGAUAUUACAAGAUAUAAUGACUAAAUUUUUUUCUUAUAGUUCACAUAUUUUUUCUCCUACUCAUAUUUUUUCAUACUACCAAAUUUGAAAAUUAUCUGAUUGUUAACCUACCUUCUUUCUGAUAUAAUACUUUAAGUUAUAAAUGUUCUUCUGAAUGCUCUUUGUCCCAGAGAUUUGAUAUAUGAAGCCUUCUUUAUCACUUUGUUCAAAGCACUGUUUAUUUGCUUCUUGUGUGCCUUCUUCCUUGACCUGUGAAGUACGUGUAGGUGUGCCAUUUCAUGUUGAAGGACCUGGUUUGUGGUGAUGGGGUUCUAUAGAUCUUAAGGUGAUUGAUAUCUAAUAUAAUCAGUCAUGCAUUAAACACAGUCUGCAUGAUUUUAAAUGUUUUAAAAGGCAAUGGAAAUGCUUAAAAUUUAAAAUAUAAGAUUGAAUUAGUUACAUACAUGUCAAAACUGAUCAAAUUGCAUGCUUCCAAUAUAUGCAUUUUAUUGUUCUUCAACUACUUCAAUAAAAUCAUGAAAAAAAUGUGAAGAAA